rnacentral:rRNA from 1 species
CUCCUACGGAAGGCAGCAGUGAGGAAUAUUGGUCAAUGGGCGCAAGCCUGAACCAGCCAUGCCGCGUGAAGGAUGAAGGCCUUCUGGGUUGUAAACUUCUUUUACAGGGGUAAGAAAACGUAUGGUUUCUACUAUAGCCGACGGUACCCUGGGAAUAAGCACCGGCUAACUCCGUGCCAGCAGCCGCGGUAAUUC